rnacentral:rRNA from 1 species
CAGUAGCCACGGGAAUACGUAGGCAGCAAGCGUUGUUCGGAAUUACUGGGCGUAAAGAGUGUGUAGGCGGUGCUCUAAGUUCGGUGUGAAAUCUCCCGGCUCAACUGGGAGGGUGCGCCGGAAACUGGAGUGCUCGAGCGUGGGAGAGGAAAGCGGAAUUCCUGGUGUAGCGGUGAAUGCGUAGAUAUCAGGAGGAACACCUGUGGUGUAGACGGCUUUCUGGACCAUUGCUGACGCUGAGACACGAAAGCGUGGGUAGCAAACAGGAUUAGAUACCCCCGUAGUCCCUGUCUCUUAUACC